rnacentral:rRNA from 1 species
AUUGGAAACGAUAGCUAAUACCGCAUAACAGUAUGUAACACAUGUUAGAUGCUUGAAAGAUGCAAUUGCAUCGCUAGUAGAUGGACCUGCGUUGUAUUAGCUAGUAGGUGAGGUAACGGCUCACCUAGGCGACGAUACAUAGCCGACCUGAGAGGGUGAUCGGCCACACUGGGACUGAGACACGGCCCAGACUCCUACGGGAGGCAGCAGUAGGGAAUCUUCGGCAAUGGGGGCAACCCUGACCGAGCAACGCCGCGUGAGUGAAGAAGGUUUUCGGAUCGUAAAGCUCUGUUGUAAGUCAAGAACGAGUGUGAGAGUGGAAAGUUCACACUGUGACGGUAGCUUACCAGAAAGGGACGGCUAACUACGUGCCAGCAGCCGCGGUAAUACGUAGGUCCCGAGCGUUGUCCGGAUUUAUUGGGCGUAAAGCGAGCGCAGGCGGUUUGAUAAGUCUGAAGUUAAAGGCUGUGGCUCAACCAUAGUUCGCUUUGGAAACUGUCAAACUUGAGUGCAGAAGGGGAGAGUGGAAUUCCAUGUGUAGCGGUGAAAUGCGUAGAUAUAUGGA